rnacentral:lncRNA from 1 species
GAGUUCCUACAUUCAGAGUUAGGGAUUUGAGGGCCCUGCUGUGAUCCAGAUCAGGACCCUAAAGUGUGGUCAUGAUGGUUGACCACAGCUUGUGUUCUGGGCCAAGUUCCUCAUUGGGCUUGGGACCACCAGAGUUAGUGCUUGUGGGGCAUUAAAGUGACUUAGUGACCAAGCUCAAAUUUAGGCUCCUGGGUUGAUUUUCAACCAUCACAUGGUCCGGCUCAAAUGAAUCUAGAAGGAGCUGUUGUCAAGCUGCUUGCACUUUUCUCAGGCUCUCACCCUCGCCAUUGACCUACAUUCCUCAUCUGUAAGUCAUUUCAGUUCACCUGACAUUUUAUUUGGAGAAGGUAGCUGAGUCGUGUCAAGGCAGAUGGCCCCAGCCCUCUGCUGGAGAGAUCUGUCUCAGCAAAUGCUGCCCCAGGGACUAGCUCUCAACCUCUUGAGUUAAGCCUUAGGGUAGAGCGCUGGCAGGCAACCCUGUUCUCUGGCAUUCUGUGCAAGAAGCAGGCGGGGAAGAAAGACGACAUGUUUCUUCACAAAGGAGGAACCUCUAGCAAGAAUGACAGAUGGAGAAGCUGGAGCGCAGGCAUACUUAUUCAGAGUGAGACAAAUCCUCAGGGACCACAACCUUAGAAUCGGAAAGUUGCGAAGAAAUAGGUAUGGAACUGACCUAGCAUUUUGCACCUAUGCGAGCCAAAUCAUACGCCCUUAUCCUCGCGAAAUUGUCUGAGGCUACACUGUCUCGGAGAGUAGCCACUCCCCAUGUGUGGCAAUUUAAAUUAAUUAAAGUGAAAUAAAAUUAUUUGGUUCUUGUGUUGCAUUAGCGAUGUUUCAAGUGUUCAGUAGCCACGGGUGUGACUGCUGGUGACCGUACUGGACAGCACAGACAUGGAAUGUUUGCAUCAUUGCAGAGAGUUCUAUCCUAGAGCACACGUCUAAGCAUGCAGCAAAGUGGCGUUGGUACUCUUCUCCCUUCAUUAACUAUGCCCCUAAACCCUUCUUUCUGCUUGUUUUCCAACCCUUCUGGGGGCACUUGGCUUAUUAAGGUCAGUUCUCUGAAUGGAAUGGAAGGAAGCUAGGAAGAGCUAAGCCGGCAAACCCGGUCAAGUACAGGCUCAUUAUUUUCCAUUUCUUUUAUAUCCAGCCAACCCCCAGCUGCCCUUGCCACCCACUCACAGGGUCUCAGCAGCCUCCGAGCCGCUCACAUUCUAUUUCUACCCAGACAUGUUUCACGCACAUGAAAGCAGGAUUUGCAGAGUGAGGGAAGACUGAACACUUCUGGGACGAGGUUUUAACAGCUUCCCCAUAUGUGAGGCCCAGGCCAUUCCUCUUGGGACUGGUCUCAGAUGGUAUGGUUUCCAGCAGUUUGAAGGCAGCUUUGAAUACCUCUGGAUAUUUUAUAGGCUGAGGACAUUGGGGGCCUCCUUUUCUGGUACAUUAUAAAGGAUUUCACCGGAGUGAAGAAGAAAGUAUGUCCAGAUUCAAAGCAGAUAUUUAUAGAAUGCUCAUUCUCUUAUUUUUGAAAAAAAUACAUGCACCAAGUAAAAUGUCUACCACCAUAGGCAAUAGGAAAAAGAAGAAACAGAAGCAUUUAUAAAGAAUUAUUCCUUUUUAAAUGUUAUUUUUCUUAAAAUACACUUUAUAUAACGUGUGUAUAUGCACGUAUGUGUAUAUGUGCAAAAAACUAAAAGUUUUUUAAUUUAUUUCUGGGCUCCCCAUUUAUCUCAAGAAGACACUAGAGGAGUUCCCACUAUGGCACAGUGGGUUAAGGAUCCGGCUUGUCUCUGUCAUUGCCAGUUAGGUCCCCAGCCUGGUGCAGUGAGUUAAGGAUCAUGGUGUUGCUGCAGCUGUGGCGUAGGUUGCAGAUGCAGCUCGGAUUUGAUCCCUGGCCCAUGAACUUCCACGCCAUGAGUGUGGCCCACACAGGGGGUGGUGGUGGAAGAAGGCACUAGAAACAAGGAUGAAUCAGACAUCUGCGAGAAGCCUGGAAAUCUCGAAAGGAUCAUCAGUUUGGGUGCAGCUGAGCUACAGACCUCUCAUUCCAGAUUUCAAAGGCAUUUUGAUACCUCAGGUUCCCCAAGGGAUCCCCUUUUGGGAGGCCCUAGAUGAAACUAUUUAGAAAAGCCAGUGUGCGGACUGAGUUCGCUUUAGUCCCCAUCCUGGCCUCCACUUCCCCCACUGAUAGUCAGCCGUAUUCUUUUUAAAUGACCAAGUAUUUAUUUCAUCAGUUACAACUAGAAAGCAGUGGUGUCUGUGGUUCUGUUCAUUUGUUUCUAGCAGGCUAUCGUCCAAGAAUGGACUUAGAACAGUUACAAAACAUUACACACUUUUAAAAGAAAUUUUUAUGGUCGCACCCACAGCAUAUGGAAGUUCCUGGGCCAGCUGCAACUGCAGCCUACACUGCAGCUGUGGCAGUGCCUGAUCCUUUCACCCACUUUGACCAGCCGGGGAUCGAACUCAUGCCUCCAUAGCGACCUGAGCUUCACCCACUGCACCACAGUGGGAACGCUGACAUUAUGUACUUUUGAAACUCAUCAAAUGCUACAAAUUCAUCAUUCACUACAAAUAUGUUGAUUACUACAUGUAUACUUCUCAUCCAUUGUAUCAGAUAUACUGAAUGCUACAAGUAUAUCUUAAAUGUAUCAAUUGGAACAAUAUUUAAACAUAAGAGAUAAGGUUAACUUUAAAAGCAAAUUAAGAAAUUGGACCAAAGAAAAUCGAGUGAACUUCUCAGCAUUCUAUACUGUGGCUACAUAUUUGGUCCUGAGCUUCCAAGCAGCCAAGACAAAAGGGAAACACAGGCAGUUAUAUGAUCCAGCAUCCAUAAAGCAUAAACUAAUUUUUAGGGAGUUCCAUUCUCCUCAAUCCUAGCAAAGAUUAUUCAGAACAGUAUAAAAGUGAGCAAGGACCUCAUCAGUGACUCCAUGAAAAAUAAACAAGUUUAAUAUGUUUGUUCUUUUAAUAAGACUAAUGGACACUUGCAACUCUGAACGUUUUGAAAAGCAAUUCUUAGGCAAGGGGCUUGGGGAUCAAAACAUUUUUUGCCCAGUUAAACAGAUUUCUGAUGGAUUAUAUAAUUGAGGGAUAAACUGUAGCACUGUGAUUCUUGGCUGAAGUGGAGAAAUGAUUCAAAUGCUUUAAUCAACUGGGGAGUUUUUCAAGCUACAUAAGCACCUCACCAUUGCCGUCCUCUCGCAAGAGUUGAUAGAACUCUAGGAUGUUUGUCCCCAAAUUUAUUAAUAAUGAGCCUGCAGUGAAUCCCUCCUGUGUGUUUUAGGAUAGGAGCUCAUGGGGAAUGAAGGCUGUGGUGAGAGGAUAGCAGGGAACAGACACAAAAACCACCCAGGAAGCUUGCUCCAUGAACUGCCUUGACUUCACCUGACACCUAGGAAUCAGUGUCUGGGAUGGAGCCAUGCAUGUGUGUUGUUAACUCCCUUACCAGGUGGUUCUGAUGCAAAACUCCUUUGGGAAGUGCUACCUGGAGCAGUGCAUGGAACUUGCACUGUUUGAGCCAGCUCCUCUGAAUAUUUUUUCCAAGAGAAAAUUUCAAGAAUGAAUUCCCAGUGAAAUACUCCCCAGUGAAAUACCUGGAGUGCCACUCCUCUGUCAUUGCACUUGAUCAGUCCUGUGAUGGGUUUACCAGUUAGCUCAUCCCAGCUCAGCAAAGGUGGACACUCAUUAUGCAGGGAAAACUUACAAGAGGCAGUCCUAAUGGGUGGCCUCCCUCUUCUGCCUGCUUAUGUGCUUCUGGACACAGGUAAGAAUUCUCUUGGUCAGAAUCUAGAUUCCACCUGUUUCUUUAGAUUCCUUGGAGGUGUCCUGUAGUUUGAGAAUCAGCUUCUGUGCCUCUAAGCCCUGCUCAAAAUGCCACCAAUGGAAAGCUACCAUAUUGUUGUUAUAUACUUGAUGCCUAAGAAAAAAAAAUACCCUGAAACAUAAAGUAUUUUUAGUCUUUAUCAAAUUGAUUUCAACUAAAUUUAUAUACAAUAAUGAUGGUGUGAAUCGCAUUGUGUGCAGUGGCUUGAUGUGGCAUCUCAAUUCCCAGAUCAGGGAUUGAACCCCGGCUACAGCCACGAAAGCACCAACUCCUAACCGCUAGACCAUGGGGGAGCUCCAUGACAUUCACUCUUAUCAAACAGUAUGGAUAAACUACCCACAUGGCCCAGGUAAUCUGACAUGACUUGAGAUUCCUGAACCAAUGCAAAAUGAGAAAAUUCAGUUUUUAAAAUAUUAAAGGAGACAGAUGAGGAGAAGAGGAAAGGAAAGAAAAAAAGGGAGCAAAACCCUGUUUGUGGUGGAGGCAAUACCGACUGGGACCACUUCUAACAGAUGCAGGGAAAAGCUCCAGAAAUUUCUUCCACUGUGGCCCAGCCCCCACGAAUCCCAGAGAUACUUUCACUGGGGCUCUUCUUCCUGUCUUGCUCUCCAGGUUUUCAAACAUUCCUGAAAAUGAGGGUAGGACAUUCAGGGCGGUAAGCACACAGGGAACUCAGCUGCCCAGGGGAUUGGUUGAAGAAGGGAUGUUGAUCAGAAACUGAUUUCUUUCCACCAAAAACGAAUGGCACCCAACUUGUUAACGGCUUUUAGAAAACUCAUAGAUACCCAAUUUCCACUGCAAAAUCAUUUUCACUUAAGAAAAAAGAUGAGUUUUGAUUUGAUUUGAUAUUUUCUGUUUUAGCUCCAAUAGCUAAGUAAUUAUUGUUCUCUUUUUUUUCUUUUUCUCCAGCUUUAUAAGGAUUUAUUUUCUGUGGUACUCAUUAUGCUUCCUGGAUUUGAGUGAGUGGUUCCUUUCCCAUUUUAGGGAAGUUUUCGGCUAUCAUCUCUUGGAAUAUUUUUUUAUGUCCCUUUCUCUCUCCCUUCUCCUUCUGGCACCCCUAUAAUAAGGAUGUUAACAUUGUCCCAGAGUUCUCUUAGAUUGUCUUCAUUCUUUUCAAUCUUCUUUUCUCUUUUCUGUUCCACAUCCGUGAUUUCCACUAAUCUGUCCUCCACCUCGCUUAUUCAUUCUUUUGCCUCCUGUAUUCUGCUGUUGGUUGCUUCUAAUGAAUUUAUUUCAGUUAUUGUAUUUUGCAUCUCUCCUUGCUUAAGCUUUAAAUCUUGUAUUUCUUUGCUCAGUGUUAGCUGUAAAUUAUCAGUCUUUGCCUCCAGUUUAUUUCCAAUGUCUUCCAUCAUCUUCAACAUCAUCAGUCUAAAGUCUUUUUCCUGGAGGCUGCUAAUCUCUAGAUCACUUAGCUGUUUUUCUGGGGGGUUUUCUUGUUCCCUUAUCUGAGUUGUAGUUCUCUGCCUUUUCAUUUUUAUAGGUUUUUGGUCUGGUCUCCUUUUUGCAGACCAUAGAGUUGUAGCCUCUCUUACUUCUGAUGUCUGUCCCCCUUGUGGCUGAAGUUGGUGUGGGGGCUUGCUAUAGGCUUCCUGAUGGGGGGACUGGUGCCUGCCCACUGGUAGGUGGGGCUGAUUCCUAUCCCUCUAGUUGGUGGGGCUUUGUCUCAGGGUGAGAUUAGAGGUGGCUGUGUGCCUGGGGGGUCUUUAGGCAGCCUGUUUACUGAUGAGUGGGCCUGUGAUCCCACCUGGAAUAUUGUUUGGUCUGGGGCUUCUCAGCGCUGACGGGGUGUGUGUGUAUGUGUGUGUGUGUGUGCAGAUUUUCCCUAAAUGGCCACCUCUCCAGGAACACACACUGAUGAAUAUUCCAGAGACCUUUGCCUCCAACAUUCUUCCCCCUUUUUCACAGCAGAUCCUCCAAGAACUGUAGUCAGGUCCAAACCAGAUUCCUAUGGAACCUCCACCCUGCCCUGGGACCCAGUGCACAUGAAAGUCUGUGUGCACCUUUUAAGAAUGGGGUCUCCGUUUCCCCCAGUCCUUGUGGAGUUCCUGCACACAAGCCGCACUGGCCUUCAAUGCCAGAUGCUCCAGAGACUCUCCCAAUCCCAAAUCCCCAGGCAUGGGGACCUGAACUGGGGCUCAAAACUCUCACUGCUGUAGGUGAGUGUCUGUGAUACAGUUACUUUCCAGCCUUUGGGCUUCUCACCCAUGAGGUAUGGGAUUGCUUAUAUCACAUAAUUGCCUCUCUUACCAUCUUGAUGUGGCCUCUUUUUUGUCUUCUGGAGUAGGAUAUCAGUACAUUUGGUUGAAGGUUGUUCAGCAUUUGGUUGUAAUUCUGAUGUUUUUGAGAGAAGGCGAGCUCCAGUCCUUCUAUUUUGCCAUCUUCAUCCUGUCUCCUCCUCUCCAGCUUUAUAAGGAAAUAUGAAAACCUACCUCUUUAGCUGUCAGGUUCACAUUUGGGAUAGCUCCAGCUGAUUGACAGAGGAGUGAAGGGGAAAUGGAGUUCAUUCUUUCAUUCAAAAGGCAAGCCUGUGAUACUGGUGCUACUUGCAAUGAAAAUUCCUUUCAUGAAAGAAGGGUAGAAGGAUAUUCCAUCACAUUCAAUUUCCUAUUCCCAUUUCAAGUACAGGGACCUGGUUUUGAGGAGAGGAUAUUUUUGUGCUUAAAUAGUUCAUGAGAAGUCAUUUGAAAUUUCUUAUUUUUACUAUCUUGCAGAGUGGUGGGGGCAAAAAUGUAGAAACGUUGUAAAUAGGUUGGCGUGCUUGCCUUUCAUUUUGUGCUUUUGAAAGAAAUUUCUUAAAAAAAGACUUAGGUUCUGCCCUCCUAAUUUCUAGUAUUUAAGGAACUUCUGCAGAAAGUAAAACAAUUAUCUCUAGGAAGAUUUAACACUGUACCUCAGGGUGAGGAUUUCUAUUUUUUUUUAAUUUUCAUUGUAAAAUAAAACAUAGCUAUGGCUAACACUCAGUAAAUACUACCUGUUAUUACUAAAUAUUUUUUAAUUAAAAAAUAAAAUAGGGAGUUCCCGUCGUGGCUCAGUGGUUAACGAAUCCGACUAGGAACCAUGAGGCCAGAGGCUACAGCUCCGAUUGGACCCCUAGCCUGGGAACCUCCAUAUGCCGUGGGAGCGGCCCAAGAAAUAGCAA